UCACCGGUCUUGAGUACGGCAAAUGGAUUCUAAACCUCGUGGUUGAAAUGAGAACAUCAAGGUUCCUCAGCACAGCUGUUCUUUCUUCCCAGCUAUUGUUCCUGAGAAGAUGACUAAUGGCCGUUCCUGUGAAACGGGCACCACCACGUCCCUCUAAACCCAGCAUUUAUCACCCUACAGGAAGAGUUUGCAAAGCUGAGAACAGAGGGAUCUGGACAGAGAAUCACAGAGUGACAAAAGGAAAUCCAUGAAGAAAAAUCAUUCAGCCCGCCUCUGUGGAGACAACGAGAAGACACUGGGGGAGACUGAACAUGCGUGUCUGCUCUUUUCCGUAACACAUCUGCCAUAAAUCGAUCGGUUGAGUGUUACUAGGGUAUCCUCAUAAAAGGAAAUAACAAAAGUAACUCAGCUUAUAGAUUUUAAUAAGUAAACAUCAGUAAAAGAUUAUUAUAGCUCCAGUAGCUCACAGAUACAUUUAAGUUCUCAGGGUGAACUGGCAACCAUCACAAUAUUCGGGAUGGAUCAGUUAAUAAAACAAAGGCCCCCCCCCCGCCUUAAAACUUAACUCUGAAUAAGACAAAGGCAAUUAAAAAGUAAAGGGUAUUAUUAUGGUUUGGGUGUGAACUGUCUCCACAGGCUCAUAUGUUUGAGCACUGUGGUCCUCCGCUGGUGGCCAUCUUUCUGAAGGAAAGGGCUGAGAGGAGUUACGGAAUCCAGCAUCCUCUGCAUGUCAGAGUCUCCUGCUGCCGUGUCUUUCCUGCCGUGUGAAUUGUGUCUCCUCCAACCAUAAGCUCAAUAAACACUUCCACCCUUA